rnacentral:rRNA from 1 species
UCGCACGGUGAAGCCCAGCUUGCUGGGUGGAUCAGUGGCGAACGGGUGAGUAACACGUGAGCAAUCUGCCCCUGACUCUGGGAUAAGCGCUGGAAACGGCGUCUAAUACUGGAUAUGAACCGUGGAGGCAUCUUCAACGGUUGGAAAGAUUUUUUGGUCAGGGAUGAGCUCGCGGCCUAUCAGCUUGUUGGUGAGGUAAUGGCUCACCAAGGCGUCGACGGGUAGCCGGCCUGAGAGGGUGACCGGCCACACUGGGACUGAGACACGGCCCAGACUCCUACGGGAGGCAGCAGUGGGGAAUAUUGCACAAUGGGCGCAAGCCUGAUGCAGCAACGCCGCGUGAGGGAUGACGGCCUUCGGGUUGUAAACCUCUUUUAGCAGGGAAGAAGCGAAAGUGACGGUACCUGCAGAAAAAGCGCCGGCUAACUACGUGCCAGCAGCCGCGGUAAUACGUAGGGCGCAAGCGUUAUCCGGAAUUAUUGGGCGUAAAGAGCUCGUAGGCGGUUUGUCGCGUCUGCUGUGAAAUCCCGAGGCUCAACCUCGGGUCUGCAGUGGGUACGGGCAGACUAGAGUGCGGUAGGGGAGAUUGGAAUUCCUGGUGUAGCGGUGGAAUGCGCAGAUAUCAGGAGGAACACCGAUGGCGAAGGCAGAUCUCUGGGCCGUAACUGACGCUGAGGAGCGAAAGGGUGGGGAGCAAACAGGCUUAGAUACCCUGGUAGUCCACCCCGUAAACGUUGGGAACUAGUUGUGGGGUCCAUUCCACGGAUUCCGUGACGCAGCUAACGCAUUAAGUUCCCCGCCUGGGGAGUACGGCCGCAAGGCUAAAACUCAAAGGAAUUGACGGGGACCCGCACAAGCGGCGGAGCAUGCGGAUUAAUUCGAUGCAACGCGAAGAACCUUACCAAGGCUUGACAUAUACGAGAACGCUGCAGAAAUGUAGAACUCUUUGGACACUCGUAAACAGGUGGUGCAUGGUUGUCGUCAGCUCGUGUCGUGAGAUGUUGGGUUAAGUCCCGCAACGAGCGCAACCCUCGUUCUAUGUUGCCAGCACGUAAUGGUGGGAACUCAUGGGAUACUGCCGGGGUCAACUCGGAGGAAGGUGGGGAUGACGUCAAAUCAUCAUGCCCCUUAUGUCUUGGGCUUCACGCAUGCUACAAUGGCCGGUACAAAGGGCUGCAAUACCGUAAGGUGGAGCGAAUCCCAAAAAGCCGGUCCCAGUUCGGAUUGAGGUCUGCAACUCGACCUCAUGAAGUCGGAGUCGCUAGUAAUCGCAGAUCAGCAACGCUGCGGUGAAUACGUUCCCGGGUCUUGUACACACCGCCCGUCAAGUCAUGAAAGUCGGUAACACCUGAAGCCGGUGGCCCAACCCUUGUGGAGGGAGCCGUC